GGAUGAACGCUGGCGGCGUGCUUGAUACAUGCAAGUCGAACGGAGAGUGUAGCAAUAUACUUUUAGUGGCGAACGGGUGAGUAACGCGUUGGUGACCUGCCCCGAAGCGAGGGAUAACAGUUCGAAAGAACUGCUAAUACCUCAUGUGAUCACCGGUUUUAGAAUCUGGUGAUUAAAGGUGAAAAUCACUUCGGGAGGGGCCUGCGUCCCAUCAGCUAGUUGGUAAGGUAAUGGCUUACCAAGGCGAUGACGGGUAGGGGACCUGAGAGGGUGGCCCCCCACAAUGGAACUGAAACACGGUCCAUACACCUACGGGUGGCAGCAGUAGGGAAUAUUGCAAAUGGGCGAAAGCCUGAUGUAGCAACGCCGCGUGUGCGAUGAAGGUCUUCGGAUUGUAAAGCACUUUUUGGAGGGAUGAGGAAGGACAGUACCUCCAGAAUAAGCCUCGGCUAACUACGUGCCAGCAGCCGCGGUAACACGUAGGAGGCAAGCGUUAUUCGGAUUUACUGGGCGUAAAGCGCGUGCAGGCGGUUUGGAAAGUUGGAUGUGAAAGCUCCUGGCUCAACUGGGAGAGGUCGUUCAAAACUUCCAGACUUGAGAGUGGUAGAGGGAGGUGGAAUUCCGGGUGUAGUGGUGAAAUGCGUAGAUAUCCGGAGGAACACCAGUGGCGAAAGCGGCCUCCUGGACCACUUCUGACGCUCAGACGCGAAAGCUAGGGUAGCAAACGGGAUUAGAGACCCCGGUAGUCCUAGCUGUAAACGAUGUGAACUUGGCGUUGGUGGGUUUAAAUCCAUCAGUGCCGAAGCUAACGCGAUAAGUUCACCGCCUGGGGACUACGGCCGCAAGGUUAAAACUCAAAGGAAUUGACGGGGACCCGCACAAGCGGUGGAUGAUGUGGUUUAAUUCGAUGCAACGCGAAAAACCUUACCCACCUUUGACAUGGCAGGAAUUCCGAAGAGAUUUGGAAGUGCUCGAAAGAGAACCUGCACACAGGUGCUGCAUGGCUGUCGUCAGCUCGUGUCGUGAGAUGUUGGGUUAAGUCCCGCAACGAGCGCAACCCUUGCCAUUAGUUGCUACGAAAGGGCACUCUAAUGGGACUGCCGGUGACAAACCGGAGGAAGGUGGGGAUGACGUCAAGUCCUUAUGGCCCUUAUAGGUGGGGCUACACACGUCAUACAAUGGCCGGUACAAAGGGUAGCCAACCCGCGAGGGGGAGCCAAUCCCAUAAAGCCGGUCGUAGUCCGGAUCGCAGUCUGCAACUCGACUGCGUGAAGUCGGAAUCGCUAGUAAUCGUGGAUCAGCAUGUCACGGUGAAUACGUUCCCGGGUCU
rnacentral:rRNA from 1 species